UUGGUUUUCGCAGCUACACAUGCAGUCGAGCGGAUGACGGGAGCUUGCUCCCUGAUUUAGCGGCGGACGGGUGAGUAAUGCCUAGGAAUCUGCCUGGUAGUGGGGGAUAACGUUCCGAAAGGAACGCUAAUACCGCAUACGUCCUACGGGAGAAAGCAGGGGACCUUCGGGCCUUGCGCUAUCAGAUGAGCCUAGGUCGGAUUAGCUAGUUGGUGAGGUAAUGGCUCACCAAGGCGACGAUCCGUAACUGGUCUGAGAGGAUGAUCAGUCACACUGGAACUGAGACACGGUCCAGACUCCUACGGGAGGCAGCAGUGGGGAAUAUUGGACAAUGGGCGAAAGCCUGAUCCAGCCAUGCCGCGUGUGUGAAGAAGGUCUUCGGAUUGUAAAGCACUUUAAGUUGGGAGGAAGGGCAGUAAGUUAAUACCUUGCUGUUUUGACGUUACCGACAGAAUAAGCACCGGCUAACUUCGUGCCAGCAGCCGCGGUAAUACGAAGGGUGCAAGCGUUAAUCGGAAUUACUGGGCGUAAAGCGCGCGUAGGUGGUUCGUUAAGUUGGAUGUGAAAGCCCCGGGCUCAACCUGGGAACUGCAUCCAAAACUGGCGAGCUAGAGUACGGUAGAGGGUGGUGGAAUUUCCUGUGUAGCGGUGAAAUGCGUAGAUAUAGGAAGGAACACCAGUGGCGAAGGCGACCACCUGGACUGAUACUGACACUGACGUGCGAAAGCGUGGGGAGCAAACAGGAUUAGAUACCCUGGU
rnacentral:rRNA from 1 species